ACAAGACUCAUCAUGCUUUUGCUAUUUCCCAAGGAAUAUAUUUUGAUGAAUUCUGCAUUUCCAAUUUAGACAAAAAAGCAUUAAAAUAAUUCUAAUGAAAUUAGUGAGAUGAGUGCUAAUGUAGUUUCUAAGUACUGUAAUAGUGUUUUGCAUGUGGGAACAGAGACUAUCAAAGUCAGUUCAAGAAUGUUGAAAAUAGAAUGCCUUCCUCUCUUGACAGUUUUUUUCAGAGAGAAGAAAUGGCAAGGGAGACAGAUUUUCAUUUUCCUCAGUCCCUUAAAUUAACACCUUUAAGCCGAAUUAUGCUGAAAAAUGAAAAUGUAUAUGUAUGAAGAGUGCACACUAACUUUUUCAAGAUAGACUGAUGUUCAAAGAAAACAAAGACAUGUGACAGAAGAUAGUACAACAAAAGCUAAAAACUGUGUCGAGAUGAUUUCAAUGUCACACACCAUACGAUGACAUUUUUUAGAUGCUGCAUACCAAUUCAGUUCCCAAUGAUGUGGAAUGUGGGAUGUCAUACCGAAAACGUCUCCCAGGGGCACCUUGGUGGCUCAAUCUAUUAAGUGGCUGCCUUCAGCUCAGAGUCAUGAUCCCAGAAUCCCUGGAUGGAGCCCUACAUCAGGCUUUCUGCUCAACAGGUGUCUGCUUCUCCCUCUCUCUCUGCCCCUCCUCCUGUUUGCCCUCUCUUUCUCUUUUUCUCAUUCUCUCUCUCAAAUCAAUGAAUAAAAUCUUUAAAAAAAAGAAAAGAAAAAAGAAAAUAUCUCUCAAAUCAAUGUCUUCAGCUUUGCUCUUUUUUGUGAGUUCUAGGUUUUUGUUUCUCUAUGGACAUGUUUCUUACUGAAUAUUUUGCUACCAUUUUAAACAUGGUAUUUAAAAAGUAUAAAAUGUUUAACCACAGGAUUGUUUUCUUGACUAUUUUAUCUAUAUUCCAAAGAAACUAUAUUUCUUGUGGUCAAAGAGGUUUGAAACCUUAGAGAUGUUUUUGUCCUCAGUGCUUUAUUUCUCUACCAAGUUCUAUUACUUUCCUUCUGUAAAAUUUCACAGGUUUGACUGUGA
ensembl:lncRNA